rnacentral:tRNA from 1 species
AGGCACGUAGCUCAGUGGUAGAGCACUACCUUGACAAGGUAGGGGUCGGCGGUUCAAUCCCGCCCGUGCCUA